rnacentral:rRNA from 1 species
GACGAACGCUGGCGGCGUGCUUAACACAUGCAAGUCGAACGGAAAGGCCCUGCUUUUGUGGGGUGCUCGAGUGGCGAACGGGUGAGUAACACGUGAGUAACCUGCCCUUGACUUUGGGAUAACUUCAGGAAACUGGGGCUAAUACCGGAUAGGAGCUCCUGCUGCAUGGUGGGGGUUGGAAAGUUUCGGCGGUUGGGGAUGGACUCGCGGCUUAUCAGCUUGUUGGUGGGGUAGUGGCUUACCAAGGCUUUGACGGGUAGCCGGCCUGAGAGGGUGACCGGCCACAUGGGGACAGAGACGGGGCCCAGACUCCCACGGGGGGGAGGGGGGGGGAAUUUUGCCAAAGGGGCGGAGGCCGGGUGCAGCAACCCCGGGUGGGGGAUGACGGCCUUCGGGUUGUAAACCGUUUUCGCCUGUGACGAGGCGGGAGGGCGGGAAAUGGGAAAAGAAGCACCGGCAAACUACGG